UCCCUGGUGGUCCAGUGGCUAAGACUCCACGCUUCCAAUGCUGGGGGGUCCUGGGUUCGAUCCCUGGUCAGGGAA
rnacentral:tRNA from 1 species